GUGUCAGCAGCCGCGGUAAGACGAAGGUGGCGAGCGUUGUUCGGAAUCACUGGGCAUAAAGCGCACGUAGGUGGCGGCGUAAGUCGGGUGUGAAAUCCCUCGGCCUAACCGAGGAACUGCGCCCGAUACUGCGUUGCUUGAGGGUCAAAGGGGUGCAUGGAAUUCCCGGUGGAGCGGUGAAAUGCGUUGAUAUCGGGAGGAACGCCGGCGGCGAAAGCGGUGCACUGGUUGACUUCUGACACUCAUGUGCGAAAGCCAGGGGAGCAAACGGGAUUAGAAACCCUUGUAGUCC
rnacentral:rRNA from 1 species